UUUAAUGUGUAUACGUAUUCCAUUCAAAAGUUGUAAAAUCACGUUUAAAUUGUCAAUUGCCAACUUUCACCCUUAGUUAAUUUUUUGUCAACUAUAUUUAGAUAAAUCCCUUUCUUUUUUUAUUAUACCCUAACCUACACCAAUUCUUUAUUGUUUACACCGCCUUCAUCUCCCCUUCACUUGAAAUCAGAUAAAUGGAUGGGUAUUCUUGUCAUCCACUAAUUUGUUCUUCUCUUUGUCUCUCCUUCUUCUACUACUCAAUAGUUUCAUUUCAUCAAUCUGUCAAUCACGCCUUCCACUAAUUUGCUUCUUGGAGAACCAAUUCGUGUGGCCUCAACCCUUGAGUAAUUUAUGUCUACUUAUACGAGACAAUAAAGAACAGAUACUUGAAGAUCUUCGCACAUUUUUAACAUAAUUUUGGUUGAAUAGGAUGCGAGAUCAUUUUUACCAAUGACUGAUAGAUUUUGUAAUAUAUAUGGUGUAUCGUUUUUAUAUAAGUUUUUUGUAAUAUACAUGGAGCAUUUUUGGGAAUUAAAAUAGAAAAUUAGUUCAAAUUAUUGUAUUUGAUUCUUUCCAGAUUUUUUAUAUAAAGUCCAUUUUAACAACUAA